rnacentral:tRNA from 1 species
GCCGAGGUGGCGGAAUUGGCAGACGCGCAUGACUCAGGAUCAUGUGGGCAUUGCCCGUGCGGGUUCAAAUCCCGCCCUCGGCACCA